rnacentral:rRNA from 1 species
UACGGGGGGAGCAAGCGUUGUUCGGAUUUACUGGGCGUAAAGGGACGGCGUAGGCGGUCAGCACAAGUCAGUUGUGAAAUCUCCGGGCUUAACUCGGAAAGGUCAACUGAUACUGUGCGACUAGAGUGCGGAAGGGGCAACUGGAAUUCUCGGUGUAGCGGUGAAAUGCGUAGAUAUCGAGAGGAACACCCUGCGGCGAAGGCGGGUUGCUGGGCCGACACUGACGCUGAUGCGCGAAAGCCAGGGGAGCGAACGGG